rnacentral:tRNA from 2 species
GGGCAGUUAGCUCAGUGGUAGAGCGCCUCGUUGACAUCGAGGAGGUCACAAGUUCGAACCUUGUACCGCCCACCA